AAGUCGUAACAAGGUUUCCGUAGGUGAACCUGCGGAAGGAUCAUUAAAAGAUUUUUGGUAUAAUUUUUUGUGGUCAAUUGAUCUCAAAAAAUAAUUCACCUUUUGUGCAUUGUUAUUAAGAUAUACUUUGGUUAGAGCUUUGACAUUAAGUCAACUUCUUGCUAACUCUAUCCUUAUUGUAAGGACAGUUGGCUAUGAAGCGUGCCUACCAAGGUUUUUUUUAUCAAACUCUUUGUAUUUUGUCUGACCUAAAUAAAAUAAUAAUUAAAUCAUAACUUUCAACAACGGAUCUCUUGGCUCUC
rnacentral:misc_RNA from 1 species